AGCUCCAAUAGCGUAUAUUAAAGUUGUUGUGGUUAAAAAGCUCGUAGUUGGAUCUCGGCGGACUGAGGGCGGUUUGCUUGCUAGUAUUACUGCCCUAUAGUCCGUAGUUUUGCCAGAGGUUUCGGGGUGCUCUUAAUCGAGUGUCCCGGGAUGCUGGCAGGUUUACUUUGAAAAAAUUAGAGUGCUCAAAGCAGGCUAUUACGCCUGAAUAUUCGUGCAUGGAAUAAUAGAAUAGGAAGUCGUUUCUAUUUUGUUGGUUUUCGGAAAUCGACUUAAUGAUUAAUAGGGACAGUCGGGGGCAUUUGUAUUCAAACGACAGAGGUGAAAUUCUUGGAUCCUCGCCAGACCAACAAAAGCGAAAGCAUUUGCCAAGAAUGUCUUCA
rnacentral:rRNA from 1 species